rnacentral:rRNA from 1 species
AGUCUGCAACUCGACUGCAUGAAGCCGGAAUCGCUAGUAAUCGCGGAUCAGAAUGCCGCGGUGAAUACGUUCCCGGGUCUUGUACACACCGCCCGUCACACCAUGGGAGUCGGAAAUGCCCGAAGCCGGUGGCCUAACCGAUAAGGGAGGAGCCGUCGAAGGCAGGUCUGAUGACUGGGGUGAAGUCGUAACAAGGUAGC